ensembl:lncRNA
UGCAGGUCAGAUGGUCUGUUUGUCUCUGUGUGAUGUCACAGCCAUCCAAGGCUUGAACCUGGUGCAGGUCAGAUGGUCUGUUUGUCUCUGUGAUGUCACAGCCAUCCAAGGCUUGAACCUGGUGCAGGUCAGAUGGUCUGUUUGUCUCUGUGUGAUGUCACAGCCAGACGAGGCUUGAACCUGGUGCAGGUCAGAUGGUCUGUUUGUCUCUGUGUGAUGUCACAGCCAUCCAAGGCUUGAACCUGGUGCAGGUCAGAUGGUCUGUUUGUCUCUGUGUGAUGUCACAGCCAGACGAGGCUUGAACCUGGUGCAGGUCAGAUGGUCUGUUUGUCUCUGUGUGAUGUCACAGCCAUCCAAGGCUUGAACCUGGUGCAGG